rnacentral:lncRNA from 1 species
AAGAUCCUCAAAACAAGACAGAAAAAUGGUUCCCUGGAUUUACUGAGAGGGUCGACCCAAGAAGUAGUUGAGUCGACCCAAGCUUGAGUCGACCCAAACCCUGAGAGGGUCGACCCAAAGGCAAGACAGAACAGAAGACAGAAAAGGUUCUCUGGAAACCCUGUUAGGGUCGACCCAAGAAGAAGUUGAGUCGACCCAACUGAACCUUGAGUCGACCCAAAGAAAGGUUGGGUCGACCCAAGUGAAGAAAGGCUGAAUUUCAAGUUUCUGUGGAUUCUGAGAGGGUCGACCCAAGGAAUGUUUGAGUCGACCCAAGUGAAAGUUGGGUCGACCCAAGGACAGGUUGAGCCGACCCAAGCACGGGCAGAAGCAUAACGGCUAGUUGUGCAGAAGUGCUUUUUGGACUCCCAACGGCUAUAAACGGCUAGUUUCUUCAAUCCAACGGUCAGGAAGGACUAUUUGGAGGUUGGAGAAGUAUUUAAGAGGGAGUAUUCAUCAAAGGAAGCAAGCUUUGGAAAAUACAUCAAGUGCAUUCAAGAGAGAACCCUAGCAAGGCAAGCUUCAUCCAAGAGCUUCAUUCAAGAGUCAAAAGAAAGUGGUUGAGCAGAUUCCAAGAGUCAUUAAGAGCUCCAUCCAUCCUUGAAGAGUGAAGCAUCCUUGACAAAGAAGAGAGAAGUCACAUCAAGCGAUAACUAUUCUCUAAACUCUUCUUUGUAGAUUAUAUUGUUAUAUUUGCUCAUCUAGGAGCUUAAAUCUUCUUACUUUGUUUAUUAAACUCCUUGUUGUAAGGUUUGUUGGUAAGCCCGUAAAACCAACAUUGUAGGUUGUUGGUAAGCCCGUAAAACCAACGUAGGUUGUUGGUAAGCCCGUAAAACCAACAUAGGUUGUUGGU